rnacentral:rRNA from 1 species
CACGUAGGGGGCAAGCGUUGUCCGGAUUUAUUGGGCGUAAAGAGCUCGUAGGCGGUUCGGUAAGUUGGGUGUGAAACCUCCAGGCUCAACCUGGAGACGCCACCCGAUACUGCUGUGACUAGAGUCCGGUAGGGGAGCGUGGAGUUCCUGGUGUAGCGGUGAAAUGCGCAGAUAUCAGGAGGAACACCAGCGGCGAAGGCGGCGCUCUGGGCCGGAACUGACGCUGAGGAGCGAAAGCGUGGGUAGCAAACAGG